UGCGUAGGCGGUGCGGGAAGUUGGGUGUGAAAUCCCUCGGCUCAACCGAGGAAUUGCGCCCAAAACUCCCGUACUCGAGGGAGACAGAGGUGAGCGGAACUUAGGGUGGAGCGGUGAAAUGCGUUGAUAUCCUAAGGAACACCAGUGGCGAAAGCGGCUCACUGGGUCUCUUCUGACGCUGAGGCACGAAAGCUAGGGGAGCGAAC
rnacentral:rRNA from 1 species